GCCACAGCCAUUCAUCCAGCGAGUAAGAGAUACGUAAUUCAACAGCAAAGCCAAAUUCAGGUCCAAAACUCUACCUGCCAUCCUGGAAGCCUGCAGCCAUCAGGGGCCACCAACUCUGCCUGCUUCCCUGGACUUCUGCUGCCACCUAGGACAUCCAGGUGAGCUCCCUUAUGCCAAUUACCAAACCUUUCCUCCAGCAAAACAAGCAGCUGUGAGGUAUGCCCUAUCCUCUUUGUGUUCCAUCUUCUGGUUCACACCUCUACUGGCAAUCAUGGAAGGCCUGCAAGCCAUCAGGGACUACCUGCAAUGCUUCUAUUCCCCGAGGGAUGUUGCAACCCGGGACAUCCAGAGGCCUGAAUUUAUCAAUGACUACCAGCUCUACCUGCUUCCCUGCAAGCCAGCUACCACUCAGGAAAAACAUCUCUACCUUCAAUCCCAGUGACCUGCUGCCAUCAGGAGACUACCAGCUAUACCUGUAUCCAGGGACUACCAGGCCUUCAAAAAACAGAGAUUAGUUGCUUUCUUAACCCACAAACCAUCUCUGUAUUAUGUUGUCAUUU